rnacentral:rRNA from 1 species
GACGAACGCUGGCGGCGUGCUUAACACAUGCAAGUCGAACGGUGAAGCGCCUUCCUUUUUGGUGGGUGUGGAUGAGUUGCGAACGGGUGAGUAACACGUGCGUAACCUGCCCCCUUCUUCUGGAUAACCGCAUGAAAGUGUGGCUAAUACGGGAUAUUCUGGGUCUGUCGCAUGAUGGGUCUGGGAAAGCUUUUGUUUCGGUGGGGGAUGGGCUCGCGUCCUCUCAGCUUGUUGGUGAGGUGGUGGCCUACCAAGGCGGUGACGGGUAGCCGGCCUGAGAGGGUGGACGGACACAGUGGGGAGGAGACACGGCCCAGACUCCUACGGGAGGCAGCAGUGGGGAAUAGUGCACGAUGGGCGGAAGCCUGAUGCAGCGACGCCGCGUGAGGGAUGGAGGCCUGCGUGUUGUGAACCUCUUUCGGGAGUGAAGCAGGGCUGCCUCGUUUGUGGGUGGGUUGACGGUAGCUGGAUAAGAAGCGCCGGCUAACUACGUG